UGUCCCAGAGUCUUAUCUGACUGCCCUGGUUCAAGCUGCCUACAGGACAAACGGCUGGCCUCUGGAUCUUUCUACGUUAAAGUGACCCAGUAUCGCAGUGAGGAUGAAAUCACAGUCAGGCCCAAACAAGGCUGCUUUGUGUUUGGCCUGUACCUGGAGGGAGCAGACUGGGACAUAGAGAACACCUGUCUAAUGAGAAGUAAACCUAAGGUCUCUGUGGUUGAACUGUGCAUCCUGAGAAUCAUCCCCAUUGAGACACGCCGCCUUAGAAGGACACCGGUGUACACAACAUCAAUGCGGAGGAAUGCAAUGGGCGUGGGACUGGUGUUUGAGGCAGACCUGUUUACUACCCUGCACCUCUCCCAUUGGGUUCUGCAGGGAGUCUGUUUGUGUCUCAACACCGAGUGAAGAUUUACUUAAAAAAAACUAAACACCUGCUUUUAUUCAUGAUGUUAGUUAGUUAAUUAUCGUUUUACCACUAGAUGGCAGCACAGAA